rnacentral:sRNA from 1 species
GCUACAACCGCUCUGAAAAGGUUUUAAGUAUUCAGUCUACUGAAUCACCUUUUGGAAGGCGAGUCUUAGUCUAA